AUGACUUUAUGGCACUGGUUUUACCAUGAUAGAGGAAUGGAAGGUGAUUUUCAGUCGUGGGAUAUAGGACUUCCUUCAAUGGUGGCUGCAGAUGGGGAUUCAUUACUUUAUACAAAAAAAAAAUAUAUUUGUGGAGAGUGACUUAACACUGGGAAGGCUGGAGACGGUAUGAACAAUGAUGAAACAUCAAAGAGCUGAUGAGUGGGAAGUGGGUGUCUUUGAUCUCAGGUCAGUAUCUCUUGUACAGCAUUGUGUCUGUCCCCCAUUAGCUUUAGCUCAAAUACUGGAAUGUUCCUGAUUAUAACACACGUAGGAAUCUGAAUGUCUACUCUCCUUUUCUCAGUGUCCCAGAUUUUUUAUUUGCACCUUUAAAUGUACAGAUAAU
rnacentral:lncRNA from 1 species